ACGGUUACCUUGUUACGACUUCACCCCAGUUAUCGGUCCCACCUUCGACGGCUCCCUCCAUUUGGUUGGGUCACCGGCUUCGGGCGUUACUGACUCCCAUGGUGUGACGGGCGGUGUGUACAAGACCCGGGAACGUAUUCACCGCGACAUUCUGAUUCGCGAUUACUAGCGAUUCCAGCUUCAUGUAGUCGAGUUGCAGACUACAAUCCGAACUGAGACGUUAUUUUUGGGAUUUGCUCACAUUCACAUGUUCGCUUCCCUUUGUUUACGCCAUUGUAGCACGUGUGUAGCCCUGGUCAUAAGGGGCAUGAUGAUUUGACGUCAUCCCCACCUUCCUCCAGGUUGUCCCUGGCAGUCUCUCUAGAGUGCCCACCUUACGUGCUGGCUACUAAAGAUAAGGGUUGCGCUCGUUGCGGGACUUAACCCAACAUCUCACGACACGAGCUGACGACAACCAUGCACCACCUGUCUCCAGUGCUCCGAAGAGAAGGAACGAUUAAGUUCCGGUCACCGGGAUGUCAAGAUCAGGUAAGGUUCUUCGCGUUGCUUCGAAUUAAACCACAUGCUCCACCGCUUGUGCGGGUC
rnacentral:rRNA from 1 species